AACGGUAGCAGGCCUGCACCUUCGUGGGUUUUGAGAUUGAGGGAUGGGUGAUUAUUUGGGAGGAGUUUCACUUUUACUUUAGUUUUUAGAAUUCAGGAAGGUGCAGGUGCUGACGAGUGGCGGACGGGUGAGUAAUGCGUAGGAACUUGCCUUUCAGAGAGGGAUAACCCGGGGAAACUCGGGCUAAUACCACAUAAAGUUGGGAGACCAAAGCAGGGGACCUUCGGGCCUUGCGCUGAAAGAGAGGCUUACGUCGGAUUAGCUAGUUGGUGGGGUAAAGGCCUACCAAGGCGAUGAUCCGUAGCUGGUCUGAGAGGACGAUCAGCCACACUGGGACUGAGACACGGCCCAGACUCCUACGGGAGGCAGCAGUGGGGAAUUUUGGACAAUGGGGGCAACCCUGAUCCAGCAAUACCGCGUGUGUGAAGAAGGCCUGCGGGUUGUAAAGCACUUUAGGUGGGGAGGAAAGGGAGUAGGUUAAUAACCUAUUUCAUUGACGUUACCCACAGAAUAAGCACCGGCUAACUCUGUGCCAGCAGCCGCGGUAAUACAGAGGGUGCGAGCGUUAAUCGGAAUUAUUGGGCGUAAAGGGCAUGUAGGUGGUUUCAUAAGUCUGAUGUGAAAGCCCCGGGCUUAACCUGAGAAAGUCGUUAGAUACUGUGAGACUCGAGUCGGAGAGAGGGUAGUGGAAUUUCCGGUGUAGCGGUGAAAUGCGUAAUAUCGGAAAGAACAUCAGUGGCGAAGGCGGCUACCUGGUUCCAGACUGACACUGAGGUGCGAAAGCG
rnacentral:rRNA from 1 species